rnacentral:misc_RNA from 1 species
AAGAAAAUUCUACAAUAUCUUUGAUUCCCUUGCAAAUAAAGGAUUUUGCAGCAGCCCCUCCUGCUAAAUAACUUGAUCCAUGAGAACCAAUUACAGGAAAUAUUGUUCUGAGCUCUUGGGACAAUAAAUAGCCACUCCAGGGAAGUUGAUGUCACAUUGAUUCUACCCCCACCUAAAGCAAAUAUGGCAUAAAUUGAAAGCACCCAUGUCUCUGUUCAUCUUCUUAAAAAUAUCAUCCUUAUCAGCAAUAGUAUGGAUAUGACAAAUGAGCGUCCAUCCUCUCUCCCUAAAUUGGACCUGG